CACACGCCCAGCCAAUAUAAAAUAAAGUAAGAUGCCUCCAAGGAAGAGUUAAAAAAGCUAAAAAACCUUUAACAAUGGAAGUUCCUAUAAAUUUUAAUCGCAAAAUACCGAUGACAUCUAACAAUAUCGUUACGUACUCGACAGCUUUAUUGUACAUGAUUGUUGCAUCGACGAUAUUUGCGUGAUAAAUUCUAUUUUUUUGCGAAAUAGUAAUAUGAAAGUCGCAGUCGAAUAUACGUUGCAUGCGAAAGCUACAAGAGUAUAAAAUUAAUGAUUAUGGACGUAACGACACUCUGAUAAAGAUGUGUUACAAUGCAAAGUUAAUAAAAGAAGCACAGCUU